rnacentral:rRNA from 1 species
UGUGCCAGCAGCCGCGGUAAUACGUAGGGUGCGAGCGUUAAUCGGAAUUACUGGGCGUAAAGCGUGCGCAGGCGGUUCGCUAAGACAGAUGUGAAAUCCCCGGGCUUAACCUGGGAACUGCAUUUGUGACUGGCGGGCUAGAGUAUGGCAGAGGGGGGUAGAAUUCCACGUGUAGCAGUGAAAUGCGUAGAGAUGUGGAGGAAUACCGAUGGCGAAGGCAGCCCCCUGGGCCAAUACUGACGCUCAUGCACGAAAGCAUGGGGAGCAAACAGGAUUA